rnacentral:rRNA from 1 species
UACAGAGGGGGCAAGCGUUGUUCGGAAUUACUGGGCGUAAAGGGCGCGUAGGCGGCCUGUUAAGUCGAACGUGAAAUCCCCGGGCUCAACCCGGGAACUGCGUCCGAUACUGGCAGGCUUGAAUUCGGGAGAGGGAUGCGGAAUUCCAGGUGUAGCGGUGAAAUGCGUAGAUAUGCGGAGGAACACCGAUGGCGAAGGCAAUCCCCUGGACCUGUACUGACGCUCAUGCACGAAAGCGUGGGGAGCAAACAGG